AACCCAUCCAGAGCGACUGAGAGAUCUGGCUCGACGACGUCGCAGCAACCACCCGGAGCAGCCGUGCCCAGUGCGGCCCGGGGAACGGUGCUAACGCCAGAGACGAUGGAGA
rnacentral:ncRNA from 2 species